CCUACGGGCGUGCAGCAGUGAGGAAGAUUGGGCAAUGGCCGUAAGGCUGAACCAGCCAAGUAGCGUGAGGGAAGAGUGCCCGAGGGGUUGGAAACCUCUUUUAGGCGGGGAGAAAGGUGUCCACGUGGGGAUGUUGGCAGGUACCGCAUGAAUAAGGACCGGCGAAUUCCGUGCCAGCAGCCGCGGUAAUACGGAAGGUCCGGGCGUUAUCCGGAUUUAUUGGGUUUAAAGGGAGCGUAGGCCGGUCUUUAAGCGUGCCGUGAAAUUUUGUGGCUCAACCCUGAGAGUGCGGCGCGAACUGGAGACCUUGAGUGCGCGGCAGGCAGGCGGACUUCGUGGUGUAGCGGUGAACUGCUUAGAUUUCACGAAGAACCCCGAUUGCGAAGGCAGCCUGCCGCAGCGUUACUGACGCUGAAGCUCGAAAGCGCGGGUAUCGAACAGGAUUAGAUACCCCGGUAGUC
rnacentral:rRNA from 1 species